CCUCCUCAUGACCAGCUCCUCAAUUCCCCACCCUGGCUGGGCACGGUGAUGCACUCAACUUUAAUCCCAGAGGUCAGAAGAAGACAUCAGAUCACCUGAGACUGGACAGUUACAAGCCACCAUGUGUCUUUCCAGUUCAGCAGACCCUAAGGGGCUGUGCAGCAGUGAAAUGACGUUGUUUAUCAGGAGCCCGACUCUACAGGAUGUGAAGGAGGACGCUAUCCAGAGAGCAUUCAGAAAAGCUGAUUCUGCCACUCUCCACUGAAAUGAAGCAGAAAAUGUUCAAUCACGCAAUCAAAAUAAAAGCACUAGGCCUGCA